rnacentral:rRNA from 1 species
CAGCAGCCGCGGGAAUACAGAGGGUGCAAGCGUUAAUCGGAAUUACUGGGCGUAAAGCGCGCGUAGGUGGUUUGUUAAGUUGGAUGUGAAAGCCCCGGGCUCAACCUGGGAACUGCAUCCAAAACUGGCAAGCUAGAGUACGGUAGAGGGUGGUGGAAUUUCCUAUGUAGCGGUGAAAUGCGUAGAUAUAGGAAGGAACACCAGUGGCGAAGGCGACCACCUGGACUGAUACUGACACUGAGGUGCGAAAGCGUGGGGAGCAAACAGGAUUAGAUACCCCUGUAGUCCCUGUCUCUUAUAC